rnacentral:rRNA from 1 species
GAUGAACGCUGGCGGCGUGCCUAAUACAUGCAAGUCGAGCGAACAGAUGAGGAGCUUGCUCCUCUGACGUUAGCGGCGGACGGGUGAGUAACACGUGGAUAACCUACCUAUAAGACUGGGAUAACUUCGGGAAACCGGAGCUAAUACCGGAUAAUAUAUUGAACCGCAUGGUUCAAUAGUGAAAGACGGUUUUGCUGUCACUUAUAGAUGGAUCCGCGCCGCAUUAGCUAGUUGGUAAGGUAACGGCUUACCAAGGCAACGAUGCGUAGCCGACCUGAGAGGGUGAUCGGCCACACUGGAGCUGAGACACGGUCCAGACUCCUACGGGAGGCAGCAGUAGGGAAUCUUCCGCAAUGGGCGAAAGCCUGACGGAGCAACGCCGCGUGAGUGAUGAAGGUCUUCGGAUCGUAAAACUCUGUUAUUAGGGAAGAACAAAUGUGUAAGUAACUAUGCACGUCUUGACGGUACCUGAUCAGAAAGCCACGGCUAACUACGUG